UUGCUACUUGUGACCAUACAUCAUGUAACAAAAACAGGCUUUAAGCAGUCAACAGGCUUGGUGAAGAUUCUCUGUGUUUUGAGCUUAUCUCAGCCUUAUUUAUGCCAGUGCCCUGAUGUUAAUUGGCUUUUAUAGUACCAGCUUAAUCUUCAUAGUGGUAAGUGCCUUCUGAUGCAAGGCGUGUUUUGAGUAAAUUCGUUUGCUAUCUGCAGAGUUCAUCUUCACACAAUAGCAUUUAAUGAGAUGUGCUUUGUGCUCCAGAUACCCAGCUCUGUAUUCAGGCAUGUGAGAGCAGUUGACUCGGCUGCUUUUUUAAACUGGGCUGCGAUUUGUGUAGCUGAGGGGAGUUUGCAUGUUGGCGUUCUGUUGACGUGGCAGAAGAAUCCUGACCACAGACAGCUCUGCACCUGUGCUGUGUGAGGAUCGUGCUGCUUUAGCAAGUCACAGGCUUAAAGUGCCCCAGGGCGAGCGUGUCAACGUUUGAAACUGAGACUGGCACAGAUACAAACUUCCCUAAGCUGUCUGCACAAAGCCAGCAGCAUCCUUAGAAUGAGGGGAGAAACAGCAAGCCCUGAAGAGAUUCUUUUGCUGUAUUGCUGGCUUAGCCAGCUCCUGGUAUUUCAUGGACAGGAGGGACAGCAGUGUUUUUGCACUUGGUUUUAUGAGAGCAAUUUGUGCCAGCCAUGCAAAAUAUGCAUAGCUUGGCCAGCAGCACCGGGUUUGCCAAGGGACCAGAGAUUUCUAUCUUCAAAUGCAUGUUCUGCUUGCCAGAUCAUUUCAUUAGUUUCAGUCAGCUCUGCCUUACACCUAACUUUAAAAAUGCUUCAAAUGUUUCUGCCAGCAGGUGAGAAAGGGAAAUGGACGCUUUCAGAUUUCCACUGGCAGAUUUUUCUGCAAGGAAAAGUCCUUCUUGUUUUAAUUCUAAGUGUUUAUUCUGCAUUCACACGUCUGCAUGUGUACGAAAGCAAAGGCAGCCAUUAAUGCCUUGCAUCAUACUGUAUGAGAUGCAUUUUGGAAUGUACUGCAUAUUGCAUGGGACACAUGAAAUGCAUAAACCAGACCUAAGGCCAAGGUACAAAAAUACACAGAAUAGAUUUUGUAUAUAUAUUGUGCUUUCAGCCAUAAAGCUAAGAAUGCUAAAGGCAUAUCAUAGCAUCAUAGAAUGACCUGGGUUGGAAGGGACCUUAAAGGUCAUCUCUGUCCAAAGAGGGACACCUUCCACUAGACCAGGUUGCUCAGAGCCCCAUCCUUUAAUAUAGUCAAAACUGGCCAGAGAACUUGAUUGUGAGGUGGGAUCUGUUUGCAUCUUCAUUAUCCUUCCUGCUUUCAAUUGUUUUGAGAUAUGGCUCCAUACCUAGAGUGCUUUUACUGUGGCCUCUCUCCAUCCUGGCCCUGCUCCUAUGGUAGAAUUUGUUUGUGCAACUCCUGACUACAUUUCUCCAGAGUCCUGUUGCCUUCUCAAGUGUUUUCAGUGUGCAGGGAUCUCCCUUGGGAUCAGCACACAACCGUUAUAUUCAAACCUCUGCUCUCUCUCUUGCUGAAAUCAUUAGGAAAAUUCUCAGCCAUUUGUCUCAGUCUGGGAGACAAGUUUGAUGUGGUGAGGGCUCAUAGCUCAGAGGGGGUUGCCCGAAUAAAGCCUAAUUUCUCUUUGCUUCAUGGGACUGAGGCAAAGGUUUGUGAAGGUCUGAGCCUUGGGAACCAUUCUGCAUCCCUUGGUGCAUGCAAUCAGCUGGUGGAUAAAUUGUCCUGGUGAAUAAGUGGGACUGAGGGGCAUGGUGGCAUCCCUGCUGAUUUUGUGUAAAAGUUGUCCAGUUCUUGGUGUGUCUUAGUUUUGGUGGUGUUCUUAGUUAUGUUUUGGGGUCACUUAAUGAAAUCUUUACUGUGAGGCCAAGACAGGGACUGUUCUUCAAAUUUUGUGUUGCUAGAAACUAGCAAAAGAAGCUGCUAUUUAAGAGGAUGUUUUGAGGCUGCUGCCCUCUCCCAGCAGAAUGCCCAUGUUUGGGGAUAUUUUAUGCCUGAGUCUAUCAGCUGGUAAAAGCUCCCCCAGAGUAAGAUAUAAAAAACUCAGGUUGAAACAAGUUCAGGAGGAGUCACAGACAUGCUGAGCCUACGUCAGAAAAUUCCUGUGCCCGUGUCUCCCACAACAGGUUGCUCUCCUGACCAGCAGGACACACAGCUGGGCACUGGGAGUCCAGCAGGAGAAAGAGAUGUGAGGCAGAUCACUGGCAGCACAAUCCCAGCGUGGCUUACACAGAUCCUCUUGGAAAGGGGUGUCCUGCCUUGGGUGGGAUCCAGCAGUGAGUUCCCAGGGGGAAUACAGCAGUGAGCUUCCAGGUGGGAUAUAUCAGUGAGUUUCCAGGUGGGAUCCAGCAGUGAGUUUCCAGGUGGGAUAUAUCAGUGAGUUUCCAGGUGGGAUAUAUCAGUGAUUUUCCAGGUGGGAUAUAUCAGUGAGUUUCUAGGGGGAAUCCAGCAGUGAGUUUUCAAGGGGGAAUUCAGCAGUGAGUUUCCAGGGGGGGAUCCAGCAGUGAGUUUCCAUCCAGGUGGAAUCCAGCAGUGAGUUUCCAUCCAGGUAGAAUCCAGCAGUGCGUUCCCAGGUGGGAUCCAGCAGUGAUUUUCCAGGUGGAAUCCAGCAGUGUGUUUCCAGGGGGGAUCCAGCAGUGAGUUUCUGGUGAGUUUUGGAAUCCCCUGCCUGCAGAUCAUACCCAAGGUGGGAAUGAAUUCUGUGGGGAGCAAGGCAGCUCUGUGCAGUUCUUGUGAGCCACGUUUGUCAGUUCUGAAAAGGAAGUGCACAUGAAAAUGUGUAAAGGAGGAGUGGUGUUUGCUCCCUGGGUUUUCUGUGUUGGCUCUAAGAGAAAUACAGAAUGCCAACAGGAGCGUGGAAAUUGUAAUCUUGGGACUCAUGUAAAUCUUUCUCUAAACACCUCCUGAAAAGCAGUGAAAUCCCAAAGUUAUCAGUAAUGCUUACAGAACUUGUGGAAUUUGACUUUUUUUAAGGAGCCUUCAGAUUUAUUUUGUUUUCACGUGACUGAAAUGACACGGUGGCACCCACUGACCUCACCAGGGGUCUGAAUCACAGCGAUGCUUUCAAAAACCUUACCUCACGCUCUCAGCCCUUGGCACUCCCUGCUCAGAAUGCAGAUCUGUUUCUUCUGAAGGUAGAGCACAUCCCUGUGAAGCCAAGGAGGCACCUGCAGGGACUGUUUCCAUAACAACCUCCCGGACUGUUUCUCUCUGUGCUGUGACUGUGGCUACAAGCGAAAGCACUCGCUGGAUGUUCUGUGUUCCCGUAUCAGCACUUUAUCUUUACAGAUGUUUGCUUUGCUUGCUGGGGCUGAUCCCAUCUCCUUGUACUGUGUACAGCUGCCCUGCCCAGCUGCAGGGGGGCAGUCUCCAGCCUUUGGAAGCAGGGAGUGCACACCUGGGGGUUUUGUCUGUCCAUCCUCGCACCCAGAGCGCUGGAGAGCGUGUGAAGGACAAUCUGAGCACCCAGGGAGCUGAGGGGCAGCCAGCCUGUGACUGUGAGGUCAUCCAGGAGCCUGGUGACAAGGAAUACAAGCUAAAGCAUUGCAUUGAAGACCCAGAAAUUCCCCUUGCAGCAAUCUCACUAGGGAAUAGUUUUGCAGUGGAAGAGACUGUUGCUCCGUCUGGAUCCCGUGGAUGGUUUGAUGGUUUGCUCCCCUGAUAAUUUUCCCACAGGAUGUUUUGCACCAAAGCAGGACAGGGCAGAAAUCAUCUCCUUGGAGGUGGGGAAAGAAGAAUUUUACUGAGGACACCAAUUUUUUAUCCACACAAAGGACUGGAAGCAUGAAAGGUGUGAAGACCUGUUCUGUGGUGUUUUACUGGUGGAUUCCUGCUCUCACCUCCAAGACAAAAUUCCUGUUCUGCUCCUUCUUGGAAAAUGUUGGAAUUUGGGAUUUUUGAGUAAUAUUCUGUUUGGGCCUUUUGAUUCAGCUUUCAUGGAUAAAAAUUCACUGCCACAGCAGCCAGGGGGGGUGAAGGUGACUGGACUUGGUUUGUCUCCUGGGUUCUCUCAUUCAGAGGUUCCUAUGGGAUAAAGAAGAGUAAGUGUAAAGAAAAUUCAGGGCAGCAAGAGACAGGGUAAAGACUGAAGUGUCUUCCACACAGUGAUGGAAAGAACAACAACCCUAAAAGCAAAGGAACAAACAGCUCCAGCAUCUGCUGCUAUUGCAGAAAUAGGUCCUGUUUACAUCAGGGAAAGAUCUGCAGGUUACAGCAGGAGUCAACCACAGCUUUCCCAAAAGCUCUCAUCUGACUCAAGUCCAAGCUGGAUUGUGGAUGCUGCAAAAGAGGUUUUUGAAUCUUCUUCCUGUAAAGUUGGUGGAAUUUCUCUCUAUGCAGGGGGUGCAAAUUUUUGGUCAGGAAACUGUUUUCCUUCUGUGCUUUUGAAGUGGUCAACACUCUUGAAACUAAAUGUGAACAGGGACUGGAGGAAGGAAUCAGGGAGAAUCCCCUACAAGAUUCCAAUGCCUUUUAUUUCUGGGAAAACUAAAUAAAGCAAGAUUCCACUGCCAGUGGCUGAAUAGCAGUGAUUUGUGAGCUGUUCCUCAAAAGCCCCAGACGAGCACUGAGUCCUGUGGGAAGCUGGAUGGACACAGGACACCUCCAGAAGAGCCUGCUGUUGGAACUUCCUUUUAAGCCUUUUCUCAAGUGGAGAAUCCAGACCUGGCAAAUGCAUAAGGUCAGCCCUUAAAAGAGGAAAGAGCUCUCUUGAGGAAAAUCAAAGAAGUGGCUGAAGUCUGUCCAUUUGUCUGCCUGUCUUCUUGGCCUUGGAUUACUGUGCUUUGCAAAGCUGUGCUUUCAUAACUCAGAUUAAAAGGUAGAUGCCACUACAGCAGUAAUCAUCCUGUUCAUGCCAAAUAUCUGCUGCCUGAGGGAGGGGCACAAACCAGAGGUGUUUCUCAUUCAAACACAAAGCAUCUGGCUUUAGCAUCUGUACAGUCAGUCGUGAACACGUGAGUCCUUUGCCUGCUGUAAUGGAGUUAGUGACUUCUUUUCAGUGGCUGUAGAGAAUUUCACUGAAAUAGCACAGUUUGUAGUCUGUUGUGUGACUUAGGAGACACAAGAGCCAGACAAUUCUGCAGUUGUAAUGUAAUUGCACGUGGUGCUCCCAGAAAAUGCUCUGAAGUCUUCUCCCAUUGCCCCAUUGUGAUAAAAACCUCUGCAGCUUUUCAAGCUCCACAAGUCCUUGCUGUGCUGUGCUGAAAGUGAUGGAAAACCCAAUUAGCUCUGAAAAGUGAAGGGCAGAGAGGGGUGCUCUGGCCUGGAAUUCCCUCCCUUUGGCAGCAGCAAAGGUCAGCCAUGCAGCCAAAUUUCUGUGACCACGUGUGGCUCCAGCUUGUGUGUGUUGGCAGCUCUCUGCACAGGAGAGUGGGAGGGGGGUAGGAAGAAUUGAUUCUGGAAAGGGAGAGCCUGGGAGGAAGAGUGGAGUUAAAUGUGACAGCUGGGAUUUUCAGAAGAUAGUUUGAUGGAUGUUGGGCAUCCAGCUUCCCUAGAACUCUUUAUCAGGAGCACCCUCUAUAUCUUCCUGAGUGACUUUUAGCCUGUCUGGCACUUUUCAGUGUCAGUGUGUGAGGGAAAAGAUGUAGGAGGCACUGAUUUGGCAGCUCGGGGACUGCAAUACAUCCUUGUGGCUGCUGGCUGAGGGUCUGGCUCUCUGAGGAGCUCCUACAGGUCGUUGAACUGGGCUUAGGGAAACCCUGGGCUGCCAGAGGGAGGCUGCUCCUGGUGCAGCUCUGCUGAGUGGUUGUAGAUGUGAGCCUGCAGCCCUUGGGAGGCAAAAUGCACUCCACAACCCCAAGGGAACUGCUCUGUCUCUCAGUGCAGGCCAGCUGUGGGAAUCCUCUGAGCCCUUUAUCCUGGUCUGUGUGUCAAGGCCAGAGCUGCCAUGGACCCUUCCUGCAAGGACAAUUGUCUUCAGAGUCAGUGUAGGUGCAGGCUACCUUUGGAGAAGUGUGAAUAUCCUGGGGACAUCCAUUGGGCAGAAACCUUGGGCCAUGCUGUGUGCCCACACCAUCGGCAGGGAUGCUCUGCUUUUGGUGUGAAACCUUGCUCUGAUGCAUCAUUCCAAGGAAAACAGCUGGAAUUUGCAGGCCAGAUCAUGUGGUGAGAUCAGUAAUUCUAUCUCCCUUGCUGGAGCUGGUUUAUACAGGUCAGGUCCAGCAUUUCUGAGAAAUUGUUCAUGGUGGGGGCUUCUUUUGUUUGUUUGUUUGACUGAAAACAUGAAGCCUUUCAAAUAAAGGGAAUUUUUAGCUGGAAUAUGUCUCCAGGAUGUUUGCUGCACUCAGGCUUUGAGAACACAAAUUCUCUGCAGAAAAUCCCCCCAGACAGUGGGAGAUGAGGUUAUUGGGCUUGGGAGUGCACCAGGGAGAUGGGACUGGAGUGAGCUUGGGACAGCAAUCAUUGUCAUUAGUGCUGGUGCCAUAAAAUGUGCUUGGCUCAAAUCCAGCGUUGCACAGGUGAGAACAUGGUGAAACCUUGUAACUCGAUAUUUGUGCUUGUUCCUACCAGUGUGAUCCACUGUUGAAUAGGCUAGACAUGAAUAAAAUCAGUAUUUUUU